AGCUCCAGUAGCGUAUAUUAAAGUUGUUGCAGUUAAAAAGCUCGUAGUUGGAUUUCUGGCGUGACAAGACUGACCCGCUUUGGCUCUGCCUGGUGAGCGUCGGGCCUCGUCUGCCAUCCUUCUAGAAAGUGUUUCUACCCUUCACUGGGCCGGACUCGCUGUUCUAGAUCUUUUACUUUGAAGAAAUUAGAGUGUUCAAAGCAGGCUUGUGCGUAUGAAUACAUUAGCAUGGAAUAAUAAUUUAGGACUUCGGUUCUAUUUUGUUGGUUUCUAGAACUGAAGUAAUGAUUGAUAGGGAUAGUUGGGGGUGCUAGUAUUCAGUGGCCAGAGGUGAAAUUCUCGGAUUCACUGAAGACUAACUUAUGCGAAAGCAUUCACCAAGGAUGUCUUCUUUAAUCAA
rnacentral:rRNA from 1 species